AUUGAACGCUGGCGGCAUGCCUUACACAUGCAAGUCGAACGGCAGCACGGGGCAACCUGGUGGCGAGUGGCGAACGGGUGAGUAAUGCAUCGGAACGUACCUUUCAGUGGGGGAUAACGUAGCGAAAGUUACGCUAAUACCGCAUAUUCUGUGAGCAGGAAAGCAGGGGAUCGCAAGACCUUGCGCUGAUUGAGCGGCCGAUGUCAGAUUAGCUAGUUGGUGAGGUAAAGGCUCACCAAGGCGACGGUCUGGAGCGGGUCUGAGAGGAUGAUCCGCCACACUGGAACGGAGGCACGGUCCAGACUCCUACGGGAGGCAGCAGUGGGGAAUUUUGGACAAUGGGGGCAACCCUGAUCCAGCCAUGCCGCGUGAGUGAAGAAGGCCUUCGGGUUGUAAAGCUCUUUCGGCCGGGAAGAAAUCGCACGGGCUAAUACCCUGUGUGGAUGACGGUACCGGAAUAAGAAGCACCGGCUAACUACGUGCCAGCCGCCGCAGUAA
rnacentral:rRNA from 1 species